rnacentral:rRNA from 1 species
GAUGAACGCUGGCGGCGUGCCUAACACAUGCAAGUCGAGCGAUCUUCUUCGGAAGAGAGCGGCGGACGGGUGAGUAACGCGUGGGUAACCUGCCCUGUACACACGGAUAACAUACCGAAAGGUAUGCUAAUACGAGAUAAUAUACUUUUAUCGCAUGGUAGAAGUAUCAAAGCUUUUGCGGUACAGGAUGGACCCGCGUCUGAUUAGCUAGUUGGUAAGGUAACGGCUUACCAAGGCGACGAUCAGUAGCCGACCUGAGAGGGUGAUCGGCCACAUUGGAACUGAGACACGGUCCAAACUCCUACGGGAGGCAGCAGUGGGGAAUAUUGCACAAUGGGC